GAUGAACGCUGGCGGCGUGCUUAACACAUGCAAGUCGAACGGAGCUGCUUUGAAAGAGGAUUCGUCCAAUUGAUGAGUAUGCUUAGUGGCGGACGGGUGAGUAACGCGUGAGUAACCUGCCUUGGAGUGGGGAAUAACACAGUGAAAAUUGUGCUAAUACCGCAUAAUGCAGUUGGGUCGCAUGACUCUGACUGCCAAAGAUUUAUCGCUCUGAGAUGGACUCGCGUCUGAUUAGAUAGUUGGCGGGGUAACGCCCACCAAGUCGACGAUCAGUAGCCGGACUGAGAGGUU
rnacentral:rRNA from 1 species